rnacentral:rRNA from 1 species
ACCCCUUGAGGGUCCUAAAGGGCCGUUGGAGACCACAACGUUGAUAGGUGGGGUGUGUAAGCGCAGUGAUGUGUUGAGCUAACCCAUACUAAUUACCCGUGAGGCUUAACCAUACAACACCCAAGAAGUGUUCU